GCUUACUGCAUUUUUUCUUACACAUGUGUUUUUCUUUUUUUGAAACUUUGCUUUGGUAGGCCUUCUAUAUGGGGCCUGCCAGAGAUUAAACUCAACCAAAUUUUAUUUAAUGUCAACCGAUUAUUUAAUAGUCAAAACUUUCAACAACGGAUCUCUUGGUUCUCGCAUCGAUGAAGAACGCAGCGAAAUGCGAUAAGUAAUAUGAAUUGCAGAUAUUCGUGAAUCAUCGAAUCUUUGAACGCACAUUGCGCCCUUUGGUAUUCCAAAGGGCAUGCCUGUUUGAGCGUCAUUUCUCCCUCAAACCCUCGGGUUUGGUGUUGAGCGAUACGCUGGGUUUGCUUGAAAGAAAGGCGGAGUAUAAACUAAUGGAUAGGUUUUUUCCACUCAUUGGUACAAACUCCAAAACUUCUUCCAAAUUCGACCUCAAAUCAGGUAGGACUACCCGCUGAACUUAAGCAUAUCAAUAAGCGGAGGGAAAAGAAAAAAAAG
rnacentral:rRNA from 1 species